AUGAACGCUGGCGGCGUGCCUAAUACAUGCAAGUCGAGCGAACAGACGAGGAGCUUGCUCCUCUGACGUUAGCGGCGGACGGGUGAGUAACACGUGGAUAACCUACCUAUAAGACUGGGAUAACUUCGGGAAACCGGAGCUAAUACCGGAUAAUAUAUUGAACCGCAUGGUUCAAUAGUGAAAGACGGUUUUGCUGUCACUUAUAGAUGGAUCCGCGCCGCAUUAGCUAGUUGGUAAGGUAACGGCUUACCAAGGCGACGAUGUGUAGCCGACCUGAGAGGGUGAUCGGCCACACUGGAACUGAGACACGGUCCAGACUCCUACGGGAGGCAGCAGUAGGGAAUCUUCCGCAAUGGGCGAAAGCCUGACGGAGCAACGCCGCGUGAGUGAUGAAGGUCUUCGGAUCGUAAAACUCUGUUAUUAGGGAAGAACAAAUGUGUAAGUAACUAUGCACGUCUUGACGGUACCUAAUCAGAAAGCCACGGCUAACUACGUG
rnacentral:rRNA from 1 species